rnacentral:rRNA from 1 species
UACGGAGGGUGCAAGCGUUAUCCGGAUUCACUGGGGUUUAAAGGGUGCGUAGGUGGGAAUGUAAGUCAGUGGUGAAAUCUCCGUGCUUAACAUGGAAACUGCCAUUGAUACUAUGUUUCUUGAAUUUUCUGGAGGUCAGCGGAAUAUGUCAUGUAGCGGUGAAAUGCUUAGAUAUGACAUAGAACACCAAUUGCGAAGGCAGCUGACUACAGGGAUAUUGACACUGAGGCACGAAAGCGUGGGGAUCAAACAGG